rnacentral:rRNA from 1 species
UGGGGAAUCUUGCGCAAUGGACGAAAGUCUGACGCAGCGACGCCGCGUGAGUGAUGAAGGCCUUCGGGUUGUAAAGCUCUGUGGAGGGGGACGAAUAAGUGUCGUCGAAUAGGCGGCAUGAUGACGGUACCCCUUUAGCAAGCACCGGCUAACUCUGUGCCAGCAGCCGCGGUAAGACAGAGGGUGCAAACGUUGUUCGGAAUUACUGGGCGUAAAGCGCGUGUAGGCUGCUCGGAAAGUCGGAUGUGAAAGCCCUGGGCUCAACCCAGGAAGUGCAUUCGAAACUUCUGAGCUUGAGUUUCGGAGAGGAAGGCGGAAUUCUCGGUGUAGAGGUGAAAUUCGUAGAUAUCGAGAGGAACACCGGUGGCGAAGGCGGCCUUCUGGACGGUGACUGACGCUGAGACGCGAAAGCGUGGGGAGCAAACAGGAUUAGAUACCCUGGUAGUCCACGCCGUAAACGAUGGGUGCUAGGUGUCGCGGGC